UACGGAGGGUGCGAGCGUUGUCCGGAAUCACUGGGCGUAAAGAGCUCGUAGGCGGCUUGUCACGUCGGGUGUGAAAGCCCGGGGCUUAACCCCGGGUCUGCAUUCGAUACGGGCUGGCUAGAGUGUGGUAGGGGAGAUCGGAAUUCCUGGUGUAGCGGUGAAAUGCGCAGAUAUCAGGAGGAACACCGGUGGCGAAGGCGGAUCUCUGGGCCAUUACUGACGCUGAGGAGCGAAAGCGUGGGGAGCGAACAGG
rnacentral:rRNA from 1 species